rnacentral:rRNA from 1 species
UACGGAGGGUGCAAGCGUUAUCCGGAUUCACUGGGUUUAAAGGGUGCGUAGGUGGGUUGGUAAGUCAGUGGUGAAAUCCCCGAGCUUAACUUGGGAACUGCCAUUGAUACUAUCAGUCUUGAAUACCGUGGAGGUCAGUGGAAUAUGUCAUGUAGCGGUGAAAUGCUUAGAUAUGACAUAGAACACCAAUUGCGAAGGCAGCUCGCUACACGAAUAUUGACUCUGAGGCACGAAAGCGUGGGGAUCAAACAGG